ensembl:lncRNA
GUCCCAGGGGGUGGGGUGGCUCAAAGUGCAGCAAAAAUAUCUCCCAGGCCAGGCCUCGCAUUCCACAGCUGGCUGGAGAGCAAACUGACUGCGACCACCACAAGCUCAGGCAGGCAGGGAGCCAACUGUCCUGCAGGGCAUUCCUGGUCCCUGACACUGCUGCCCCUUCGCCCUCCGCACUGGCAGGAGCCUAUAUUCACAGCGUGUCCUCUGCUCCCCUGGCCAGGUUCCAGUAUCCAGUGAGUUGGAAGGAACUCAGUGUCAGCAGCAGAGAGGAGUUGGGGGCAUGGUCCCCGGGAAGGGCUGGAUUGGGGCAGCUGGAAGGAGGUUUCCUAGCUAAGUGGUAAGAACAACGACUAGGGAGAUUAGGCAUGGGGACUCUGACUUGGGCACGGAUUUCCUUGGACCAAUAGGCAAUGUGUUGUGGUCACUGAGCCUCAGAGCCAGACAGGUCUUAAGUGAUCUGUCCGAGCUUUUCAUUUUAUGGAGAGAGGAAGUGCCUUCUUCUCUAAGGUCAUUCAGCUAAUCAGCUCAUCGGGGAAGCAAGAUUCAAGGUGGGAAGCAGAUGAGCAGAUGAGGGGUGCAGCCUGGCCUGGGAAAGAGGGCUGGAAUUCCAAGGAGGUACCUGAGACCCUAGCUCAGAGCCCCCUUCUUGGGCUUGUGGGUGAUGCAGCUGCUCUGAGCCACAAGAUCCUUGAUCUACAUUGCCGUUGCCUGGGCCCUUGGGCUUUCCUGGGCUUUCUAAGCAUAAAGGUGCCACCCUUCCCUGAUUUCCAAAGGCUCAGGCCACAGAUGCAGGAAACUGAAAUGAAAAAAUAUGCUUGGGACUUAGAUUGGGGGAUCUGAUGUCCUUAAAAACCCCCAUCAGGACGAGGUGUGGUGAUGCACACUUGCAAUCCCAGCACUCAGGAGGCUGAGGCAGGAAGAUCGCCAUGAGUUCAAGGCCAGCCUGAACUACAUAGUGAGACUUUGUUUCAAGAAACCAAAACAGAAAAAGGAGGAGGGAAAAGACCCCCAUCAGUCCUUAGCCCCUCUAUCCCCUUCCCUUGGCUCCAUCAUGAUUCUUUCUUUUGGUUGCUGCUGUCUGAAGACUGAACAGCUUUGUUCAUCCUUUCUUUUAACAAAUAUUUAUUGAAUGCCUACUUUCUGCCUGAUGUUGUGCUAGUCAAUGGGAUGAUAAAUGGCCCAAAGAAGGAUCCCUGUUCUGCGCAGCUCGGUUCAACCGUUUGUGGCAGUGGGAUCCAACCCUAAGCGUGCAGAGACAAACGCGUUGCCGGGGGGGGUGAGUUCUGGGGCCCGUGGGGGGGGGUGGAUGGCAGCUGUGCAGAGUGCACUGCAGAGUGAUAGCAGACCGGACAAAGGACGGCAGCAAGACGCUAUAAAUAAAAAGGGGCUGGAGGGAGGGCAGUUUCACCAAGGUAGACCAAAUAAGGCCUGGGUGGAAGGAAGGUGAUCUGUCUCCCUGUCCUCCCCUCCCCCGGCACUGGGCCUGCUUUGUCUGGCUUCUGUCACCACCCGAUCAAGUGUCAGGCCCAACCAGGGACCAUCUGUUGUGAACAUGCUAGCGGGAGUCCAGAGGAAAAGUUGCUAAAAUUACUACCAGGAAUUGGGAGUGGGGCACCACUGGGGAAAUCUGGAAGAGACAGCAUGGAAAAAGGAAAUAAAAAAGAAGCCCCAAAACCCAAUGGGAAAGGAGCAGAAAGGCACAGGAAGAAGCAGGGGACCUGGAGGGGGAAGGGGGGGGACACAUGACUGGGCACCAGUUGUCUGUACAACAGGAGUGGGGCCCACUUAUGUCUGGGGCCCAGCUCUUCUCUCAUCUGUCUGCUCCCAGAAUCCCUUGGGGGGACCCUACCCUGGCUCCACUCAAGCCUAGGAUUCGGGAACUGAGCUUUAUGCCUAUCUCAGGUUUCCCUUUACAAGCAGCUGCUCCUUCUUGUCAUUCUUUUGUCUUUCUGCUGGCUCCAACAUCUUUUGUAUCUCUGCACCCCCUCUACCCCCACACAAAUCAAACUCCCUACUCCACAGUCUCUGCUUUCUGAUAGACAGUGGACAGUUGGAAAGACAGCCCAGUUUAGUUUGGGGCACUUUGAGAAGGUAGACCUCUCCUUCAGGGAGUGUUUGGAGAGGCACAACUCACUGAAAAUGAAGCCUUGUGGAGAGUGGCCAGUGUGCACCCCAGGGCUAGAAGCCUCAGAGAGCAUAGGAGGGGCAGCCUGGAGAACUUUGGAGACUGUUACAAAGGUCCACUUUGAAACUCAGCUUUCCCAUCAGGCUGUGUGGUCUAGGUCAGUCACACAGCCUCUCUGAGCCAAUUUUGUCAUCUGUAACACAGGGCUAAUCACAUUUAUUGGCUAGGAUUAUGAAAACCAUUGGAAGUUGCACAGGGAAAGGGUCUAACACACACCAGAUGCCUAGCUGGUCCUCAGAAUGGGAAGUUCUCAUCCUUAGGAACACAGAUCCAAGGAAGUCAAACUGCAGACUGGAGGUCAGUUUCUCUUCUAUAAAUUCUUUGUUCUCACAGCUCCCUUAGCCCCACUAAAUCUCCUUGGUUCAAGAAAUGGUGAGUGCCAGGGUGGAUCCAGAACCCUGCAGUCCUAUGGUCCCUUCCACCCAGAUGGUACCUGCCUAUGGGAACGUCAUACCAAGAGGCCAAGGUCCUCAGGCUGUCCUAGACUCAGCCCAGCCAGGAGAGCUGACCACUGCUCCUGGGGCUUCCCUCAUGACCAAUGUGCGUGUCCUGAAAAUGGUAAUAUUGGCCAGGACACGAAAGGGAGCAGAGACCAAACAUCAGCUAAAUGAUUUUGUGUCCUGGCCCAAAGAUCGUAAGGCCCCUGGGUGGAGCUGCCUGGUGGAGCUGGGCUGGCGCGAGGGCCUGGAAGUCAGGCUGUAGAGAGAAGGCAGGAGAUGAACAGAGCUAACCCUUGGCUGACCAGGGGUUCUUCAGCAAUUCCCACCACCCUUAGAUUGGAAUCACACUGACCUUCGGAUGUGGGGGUCUAGAAUCCUUUGGAAAGAGAAUGGCAAAGGUAUAGUGACAUGACAUAAUGGAAAACAGAAAAAGGGGCACCAUGGACUUGUGGAGCCCCACAUACUGCUCUCUCUGUCUAUGUUAAGCUGUGGCGGGGGACACUGCGUAAUGGGGUUCACAGAGUAUCGAGAGCCAUUCUAUAUAAUUUUGGGGGGGAAACCAUUUCAUAAUUAAGGCCUAAUGUUCUUGCUGUUUGAGCCAGCUAUGAGAUAUGGAAACGUAACUCCAUGUGCCUCUAAGCUGAGGCCUCAAUGGUCCCAUGAUGCUGUGACGCUAAAGGGCAAGAUUACAUCAGCUGAAGACAUCCUGGUUCCUUGAGAAAAGUGGUAAUUAAAAAAAUGAGAAAAGUUUCACCUAGGGGAAGGACAAAUUCCUUAUUAGCCUGCGGUCUUGUCCCGCCUGCUCUUGUAAGAAUGCUCUGCCCAUCUCACCUUCCUCAUCAACCUAAGAUCCUCAUCAGCAUAGGAUUACCACUGCCCUCUGAGUCACCCAAUACUUCCUUCGAUUAUUGUGUGCACCCAAUAAAUGGUGGCUGUCUCGGAGUGUCUUUGUCUUUCUUCUCUCUGGCAUUGACCUCCCAGCCCCC